rnacentral:lncRNA from 1 species
AGUCAGUUCUGAACCGAGGAAGCCAGAUAAUCCGUCUGCUUAUUGGAGACUGCUAAUCCAGAAAGACGACUUUCAUCACCGAAGGUAUCUUCCAGGCUCUGCAAAUCCCAGAGGAUCUGUCUCCUUCCUUCACACAAGCCUCGGCGCUGGCUUCGUUUCUGAAAUCACCGGCACUGGCUGAGCUCUGCUUCUUGGCUGGGGCUGAAGAAACGAUAUGAUCCUGUGCUCUUCCUUCCACAGUAAUUAUCAGCAUAUUCCGCUCGCAUUAUCAAACAUCCCGCCUCACAGAAGCCGUGUUCACAUCCAAAAUACAGCCAAAGGAGAACAGGAUAGUGGACGAGGAAGAAAAUUGAUUGGCUCUAGGAAGACUGCUCUGUGGCCUCUCCGGCAGUUCUAAGAAGCAAAGCCUUCCAGUCUCAAGCCCUGGAAUCCUGUGCCUUCUGCCCUAGUAGAGCCCAGUCUGCUAAUCUCCCCAGCACCUCCCCAUUUUGAUCUUGACUUGGAUGGAAAUCUGAGGAAAUCUGAGAUUAGGCUCUGAUGGCCAAAGAAUGCCUACUAUCCCCAGGGAGGGGGCACUCUACUGGACCAAGACAAGAACACAGAUUCUGUUCGUAGAAAGAGCGUGCAUCUUGUGACACAUCUCUAAGAACAAGGUAAUGAACUCAAGGACUGAGUAGUAUGGGCCUCAUAGAGGAAAACCAAGCCGUGGCAGGCAACUGUUUGGGGGUGGGGGUGGGAGACAAAUAUCCUGGUUUUCCUUGGGACUGGUGGAUUGCCCCAACUUCAGGAUUUCAGUGGCAAAAUAGGAAGCAUCCAGAUGAAUGGAGACCAGUUGGUCACCUGAGUAUUACCUCCUAAGAGCAACAAAAAUAACAAUAACUAAUUUACUAUCUGCCGGGCACUGCUGUAAGCAAGGCACCUUUCUUUGCUUUUCAAUUGACUCAUCGGUUGAAAGUCUGUAUUUAUUUCUAUUUUAUAAAUAAAGAAACUGAAGAGCAGAGAAGGCAGAUUAACUAUGGACCACAUCCAAAGUCACACAGCUGAGUGAGUGUGGACUUAACACAGAAACCCAGCUCUGUCUGUCUCCCAAAUCCAUCAUUUUACCAUUAUGAUAUCUUUUUCCUUCAAACACACAAGAAAGUAAUUAUAUACUGGAAUUAGUACUUUUGGGAUUGUUGUCUUGAACUAAGUGGCUUUGAACAAGUCCCACAUUGGCUGCUAGGCCCCAACCCCAAACUGAAAACUGGAAAGAGCCUAAACGGCUUUUUUCUCUUUUAAUCCUGGGGAUUGAACCUGGGGCCUUAAACAGACUAAGUGAGUACCAUACCACUAAGCUAUUGCCCCUCCUCUUGAGAAUUAUACUUAAUCAUUCUUAUAAAUGACAUUGGAUGCCCAGAAAUAAAAUAUCUGUGUGCCUGGAAUCAAAUGUUCAGAAGUGUAAAUAGGAGUUUACUGUCCCAUAAAGCCAGAAUUUCAAGUCUGUGGGGAAACGGCAGUAAAUGCUAGGGCGAUGAGGGGACGGAAUGAAGCUGGCUCUCUGCUUCACACUUUAUACUAAAUGCAUUCCAAAUGGAGUCAGGUUUAUGUGUGAGAAUAAAAUCAAGGGAAUACUGGAAGAACUCAUGGGAACACAGGUCAGAGUGUGCUGUGAGAUCCAGAGAAUCUAUAAAUGGAAGUGAGUUCCAUUUCAUUAAACUGUUCUUCGUGGC